ACGGUGAGUAAUGCCUAGGAAUCUGCCUGGUAGUGGGGGAUAACGUCCGGAAACGGGCGCUAAUACCGCAUACGUCCUGAGGGAGAAAGUGGGGGAUCUUCGGACCUCACGCUAUCAGAUGAGCCUAGGUCGGAUUAGCUAGUUGGUGGGGUAAAGGCCUACCAAGGCGACGAUCCGUAACUGGUCUGAGAGGAUGAUCAGUCACACUGGAACUGAGACACGGUCCAGACUCCUACGGGAGGCAGCAGUGGGGAAUAUUGGACAAUGGGCGAAAGCCUGAUCCAGCCAUGCCGCGUGUGUGAAGAAGGUCUUCGGAUUGUAAAGCACUUUAAGUUGGGAGGAAGGGCAGUAAGUUAAUACCUUGCUGUUUUGACGUUACCAACAGAAUAAGCACCGGCUAACUUC
rnacentral:rRNA from 1 species